rnacentral:tRNA from 1 species
CGGGCGGUGCCUCAGUCAAGCAGAGCGCUACGUUCGGGACGUAGAGGUCGCAUGUUCGAAUCAUGUCUCCCCGACCA